rfam:Myotis davidii contig228974, whole genome shotgun sequence.
GCCAGUUUGGCUUAGUGGAUAAAGCAUCAGCCUGCGGACUGAAGAGUCCUGGUUCGAUUCCGGUCAAGGGCA